UACGUAGGGUGCAAGCGUUGUCCGGAAUUAUUGGGCGUAAAGAGCUCGUAGGCGGUCUGUCGCGUCGGCUGUGAAAUCCCGAGGCUCAACCUCGGGUCUGCAGUCGAUACGGGCAAACUGGAGUGUUGCAGGGGAGACUGGAAUUCCUGGUGUAGCGGUGAAAUGCGUAGAUAUCGGGAGGAACACCUGCGGUGAAGACGGCUUACUGGACCGCCACUGACGCUGAGGCACGAAAGCGUGGGUAGCAAACAGG
rnacentral:rRNA from 1 species